rnacentral:misc_RNA from 1 species
ACAUCAUAAUAGUAGCGCAUGUGUAUAAAUGGUGUGUCGCGACGUAUAUAUUUCCGAGUUGGACUCUUGUCAUUUAACAGACAGGAGAUAAAACAUUCCACGGUUGUAAAUGAGUUUAAAUGUUAAACGUUAAGAGCGGACACAUGUUGAUCAAGGCGAUAACGUUGUUUCACAUAAAAUCGAACUAUUAGUAACAACGUUUCAUCUUACGUGUGGUGCUGACAGUACAGGUGAAUACAAAUACAUUACCUGUAUUGUACAAAUGGUUUAGUUGGGAUAACACAACAUGACAGUGCCGUUGACAGUUGUCAUUGUUGGGGCCGUGUGCAGUGCCUUCGUGUUGUCAGUUAUAAUGUACAUCACGUGGAGGAGGUGCUACCGACAACGCCGGAAGUCGUCAACCUACGAACAAAUUGUCUCGGAACACAAGUCGUCCAACAUACUCGUCGAGAAUGCCACAGUCGUCCCUGCUGCCUCUGUCAGGUAUGCAUGCAACCUAUAGCAUUGUUAUCAGCCUGGUCACACGAUCGAUCAGAUCUAAAUACAUGUAUUAAUGUAUAUUCCAGACCAGUCACUCACUGUACUCCUUUCUACAUUUUAAUCGAGGAGGGGUUCAAGAGGUAAGGAGGAAGAUGGGCAAUUAAAAGACCGUUGAUACGCCCAUUAUCAUUAUAAUCACACAUUUUCUUAUAUCAUUUUUGACGUUCAUGGUUU